UGUCGCAGUUGUGACGAACCGAGUAGGGAGGAAAUUGAACGACCGCGACUAGAGUCACUCGCGAACAAACCCCCCACGUACAACGUCAUUCCCUCGAUUCUAUAGAUCUAUUCAUACACGUCGAUGACACCGCCGGCUGUAUAAUAAUUACUGUAUAUAUUCGCACAAUCUUUACACCGGUUCCAAGUUUUACGUGUUAUUUUUAAUGCUCAUGUGCGCUUCGUGACGACGAUCCGUAGGGCAUGGCGGCUCGAUUCCACCUGCGGGAUUUGAUCCUCCUCAGUUACCUCCGAGUGAAUUGUCUUUCGUAAUUUUCAUUCAGAUCGUCGAAGUCGCGAAAGUCGAGGUCGAUACGAUCCUCGCGCUCACAAUCAAAUUUUCAAUCGCGAAUUCAAGUUCUACAUCGUGAUUUUUUUUAAAUAAAUACCUAUACGCGUGCAUGAAAAUGCCACAUUAUAUUGCAAAUUGUACGUACAGCUUCAAUGUGCGAAGUUUUCUAACGGCCUUUGCCGUUGCUUAGUCAGUCGAGUGUGUAAUAUAUACCUAUAUUUACGUAUGUUGUUUUUCUAUUGGUUAACAAAUGCCACGCAGUAUACAAGAGUUGUAAUAUAUGUAAUAUGAAUCAUGCGAAAUUCGCAACGUAUAACGCGUACAGUUGUGUAUGGUAUGAUCCGGUGGUGUGAUGUGUUACAACUUUUCAUUGAUACGCAUACGUGUAGAUAAAUUUGUUUCUAACUUCCUUUCUGUUUUUUUUUUUCUCUCUAAUUAAUUUCGCAGGUUCAUAAAAAAAAACGGGUUCCAGUUAACUCCGCGUUAAUUCGUCGAUCGCAAAAUAAGAGAAAACAAGAUAACACGAAAAAGGAAAAACAAACCAUUUGAAAAUACCACCACUCCGUGCACUGUGAAAUACUACGUUAAAUUGGACGUGCAUGAGUUUAAACUCUGCGAAGGAUCAUUUGCGGUUUCCUUCGUCCGGAAUGUCGCGCAAGGUCAAAUUUUCUGCGUGAACCACAUUCUGCAGAUCCCUUUCAUCGUUAUCAGAUAUAAAAGAUUGUAACAUCAUACGAGCAACAACAUUAGUUAUUUCAAUCAAAAUUGUUUUCACGUUUUUUUUUUUAUAUUUAAAACAGAAAAAAAAGCGGAAUAACUUUAACGUUUCCGGCCUAGAGACGUAGACGAGAUGGAAUAGCAAAAAAAACAAACUACAAACUCGUUUCAAAUUAUCCGCACAGCGGUGAUCGUUUGGUAGUUAAUUGCGUCAUCUUUGUAUCACCUAUAGAUUCAUACUUGAGCUUGAAAGUUAAAAAAAAUCAGGAACCAGAAUCGUGCAAUUCUGUCGCAAAUUACGUAAGACCAAAAUUUGCCUCUAUAAAAUGAAGAUGAUCGUCUUCAAUCGAUUGCCGGUGUGAAAUUGAAAAACAAGUAUACAUACAAAAAUAAUGGACUGCAUUUUAUCGCCCGAAGAAAAUGAAACGACGCAUCUUGAUUUGUAAAUUGCGAUGCACGUGGACGAUACCUACAUGGGAACAUGGUGUGAAAAACUGACCUUACCGAAAUGAAGAAAUACGUAUUAAAAGAAAAAACGAUGCAGACUGAUGGAAAGUUUGUGUGAUGCAAAAAUGAUGCGAACGGAUAUUAUUGCGAACAAUCAGAUGAUGUCGAUUAUCGUCUACAUACGUACUAAUCCGCACAAUCAAUCUACAUAAUCAAGGAUACAUGAAAGAUAACUAUACAAUAUAAUUUCAAGAUUUUUCGCGAGAGUCUGGGUGAUUUUCAUCUAAUUUCAACGAUUAGAAAUCACGUGAGUAGCAAUCGAGAGAAGGGAGACAAAUAACAACUCUGAAGUUUGAUUUAUAAAUGAUUCCCACUACGCUUCACGCAGAUAAAUAUAAUACCACCCGGAUAAGAUCAUACAUCAGUUAAUUAAACGUAUUCCAACUAACUGGUUCUUAUAUAUUGUUAUUGUUUCUCGUGAUGUUGUUGUUUUGAUGACAAUUUUAGACAAUCGAUUACUUAUCUGUUACCAAUUUUGGAGAAUCCGAAGGUGGAAAGUGCAUGGAUUCCGAGAUCCCUCAAGAUGUCGAAAAAGUUUCAUCAAGUUCCGAAAAUAUUUUGGAAAAAGUGGCCCGUUUGACGUGGAAUCCCCCACCGACGAGAUCGCUCCGUUGGGCUCGUUCUAUUUUUUCCUUUUCAUUUAUGGAAAAGUAUGAGAAAAAAAAAAUGGUCGCAUGUAUUAUCAAGUUGUACAUAUACGUGUAUGUACAGGUAUAUAUAUAUACGUGUUACGAUCUCGUAUAUUCCGUGGCAAUAGCACAUAAUAUAAGGGGAUACGCAUUGAUGAUGAUAAUAACGUUGUUAUCUUUCCAAUGAUGUCCCAGGUGUAAAAACGCGCUUGUAUUACACCGUAUAGUUACCUAUACCUAGUAUAACAUACCUGUAUUUAUACGAAAAAUCAACUCGCAUGUAAUAAUAUUGUUAUAAUGAAUUAUAGUUAAAAAUAUAGUUACAUAUAUGUA
rnacentral:lncRNA from 1 species